rnacentral:rRNA from 1 species
AGUGAACGCUGGCGGUAGGCCUAACACAUGCAAGUCGAACGGCAGCACAGUAAGAGCUUGCUCUUACGGGUGGCGAGUGGCGGACGGGUGAGGAAUACAUCGGAAUCUACUUUUUCGUGGGGGAUAACGUAGGGAAACUUACGCUAAUACCGCAUACGACCUACGGGUGAAAGCAGGGGAUCUUCGGACCUUGCGCGAUUGAAUGAGCCGAUGUCGGAUUAGCUAGUUGGCGGUAAAGGCCCACCAAGGCGACGAUCCGUAGCUGGUCUGAGAGGAUGAUCAGCCACACUGGAACUGAGACACGGUCCAGACUCCUACGGGAGGCAGCAGUGGGGAAUAUUGGACAAUGGGCGCAAGCCUGAUCCAGCCAUACCGCGUGGGUGAAGAAGGCCUUCGGGUUGUAAAGCCCUUUUGUUGGGAAAGAAAAGCAGCAGGUUAAUACCCCGCUGUUCUGACGGUACCCAAAGAAUAAGCACCGGCUAACUUCGUG